rnacentral:rRNA from 1 species
ACUUUUAACAACAGAUCUCUUGGUUCUAGCAUUAAUAAAGAAUGCAGCGAAAUGCGAUAAGUAGUGUAAAUUGCAGAAUUUAGUGAAUUAUUAAAUCUUUAAACGCACAUUGCGCCCCUUAGUAUUCUAUAGGGCAUGCCUAUUUAAGCGUUAUUUGUACCCUUAAGCUCUGCUUAGUGUUAGGUGUUUAUUCUACUUAGGACUUGCCUUAAAACAAUUGGUAGCUAGCAUAUUAGCCUAGAGCGUAGUAUAUUUUGCGCCUCUUGUUAUAGUUGUUAGCAUCUAUUAAGACACUUUUUAAGCUCUUAACCUUAGAUUAGGUAGGGAUACCCGCUAAACUUAAGCAUAUUAAUAAGCGGAGGAAAAGAAACUAAUAGGGAUUGCCCUAGUAACGGCGAGUGAAGCGGCAACAGCUUAAAUUUAAAAUCUAGCUCUUUUAGGGUCCAAGUUGUAAUUUGCAGAGGGCGCUUUAGCGUUAGCAGCGGUCUAAGUUCCUUAGAAUAGGACGUUAUAGAGGGUAAGAAUCCUAUAUAUAGUCGCUGGCCUUCGCCGUGUAAAGCCCCUUUAACAAGUUAAGUUAUUUAGGAAUGCAGCUCUAAAUAGGAGGUAAAUUUCUUCUAAAGCUAAAUACUAGCCAGAGACUAAUAGCGCACAAGUAGAGUAAUUAAAAGAUAAAAAGCACUUUAGAAAGAGAGUUAAAUAGCACGUGAAAUUGUUAAAAGGGAAGCGCUUGCAGCUAGACUUGCCUAUAGUUACUUAUCUAGGCUUUUGUCUAGUGCACUCUUCUACAGGCAGGCUAGCAUUAGUUUAGGCGGUUAGAUAAAGGUCUCUAUUACGUACCUCCCUUUAGGGAGGCCUUAUAGGGGAGACAAUAUACAACCAGCCUAGACUAAGGUCCGCGCAUCUGCUAGGAUGCUAGCGUAAUAGCUGUAAGCGGCCUGUCUUAAAACAUGGACUAAGGAGUCUAACAUCUAUACAAGUGUUUAGGUGUUAAGCCUAGACGCGUAAUAAAAGUAAACAGAGGUAGGAACCCUUUUAGGGUGCACUAUUAACCAAUCCUAAUGUCUUUGGAAGGAUUUAAGUAAGAGCAUAGCUAUUAGGACCUAAAAGAUAGUAAACUAUACUUAAAUAGAGUAAAGCUAGAGGAAACUCUAGUAGAGGCUCGCAGCGGUUCUAACGUGCAAAUCAAUUAUUAAAUUUAGGCAUAGGGGCGAAAGACUAAUCAAACUAUCUAGUAGCUAGUUCCUACCAAAGUUUCCCUUAGGAUAGUAGUAACGUAUUUAGUUUUAUAAGGUAAAGCAAAUAAUUAGAGGCCUAGGGGUUAAAACAACCUUUACCUAUUCUUAAACUUUAAAUAUAUAAGAAGUCCUUAUUACUUAAUUAAACGUGGACACUUAAAUGUACUAUUACUAGUAGGCCAUUUUUAGUAAGUAGAACUAGCAAUGCAGGAUAAACUAAACGCAGGGUUAAGGUGCUAGAAUGCACGCUUAUUAGACACUACAAAAGGUGUUAGUUUAUCUAGAUAGCAGGAUAGUAGCUAUAGAAGUUAGAAUCUACUAAGGAGUGUGUAACAACUCACCUACUAAAUAAACUAGCCCUAAAAAUAGAUGGCGCUUAAGCGUGUUACCUAUACCCCGCUGCUAGGGCAAGAUUUAAGCCCUAGUAAGUAGGCAGGCGUAGAGGCUCGUAACAAAGCCUUAGGGGUAACCCUAGGUAAAACAGCCUCUAGUGCAGAUCUUGGUAGUAGUAGCAAAUACUUAAAUAAGAACUUUAAGGACUAAAGUAGGGAAAGGUUCUGUGUAAACAGUAGUUAGACACGGGUUAGUUAAUCCUAAGAGAUAGGGUAAUUCUGUUUUAAUAUUAGUGCUUGCGCUGCGCCCUUAAAAGGGAAGCUAGUUAAUAUUCUAGUACCUAGAUGUAGAUUCUCCGCGGCAACGCAACUAAGAGCGGAGACCUUAGCAGGAGCCCUAAGAAGAGUUCUCUUUUCUUCUUAAUAGUCUGUUACCCUAAAAUUAGUUUGUCUAGAGCUAGGGUUUAAUAGCUAGAAGAGCGCUGUACUUUUACAGUAUUUAGUGCGCUCCUAACAAGCCUUAAAAAUCUACUUAAAGAAAUAGUUUUUACGCUAGGUUAUACUUAUAACUGCAGCAGGUCUCUAAGGUAAAAAGCCUCUAGUUAAUAGAACAAUAUAGAUAAGGGAAGUUAGCAAAAUAGAUCUGUAACUUUAGGAAAAGGAUUAGCUCUAAGGGUUAGGUACGUUAGGCCUUAGGGAGAAGCCUCUAGCGCAGAAGGGCACUAACUGUAAGGUAGGCGCCUCUUAGCGCUAGGGUGCAGACACCCUUAGCAGGUUUUGGCCGUCUAGCGUACGUUUAACAACUAACUUAGAACUAGUAUAGAUAAGGGGAAUCUAACUGUCUAAUUAAAAUAUAGCAUUAUAAUAGCUAGAAAGUAGUAUUAACAUAAUAUAAUUUCUGCCUAGUGCUCUAAAUAUUAAAGCAAAGAGAUUUAACUAAGCGCGGGUAAACGGCGGGAGUAACUAUAAAUCUCUUAAGGUAGCUAAAUACCUUAUUAUCUAAUUAGUGACGCGCAUAAAUAGAUUAAUAAGAUUCCUACUAUCCUUAUCUACUAUCUAGCGAAACUAUAGCUAAGGGAAUAGGCUUAGCUAAAUUAGCGGGGAAAGAAGACCCUGUUAAGCUUAACUCUAGUUUAAUAUUGUGAAAAGACAUAGGGGGUGUAGAAUAGGUAGGAGCUUUAGUGCUAGUAAAAUACCACUACCCUUAUUGUUUUUUUACUUAUUCAAUAAAGCAGAGCUAGGCCUUACUACCUAACUUCUAGCGUUUAAGGUCCUUUGUAGGCUAAUCUAGGUUAAAGAUAUUGUUAGGUAGGGAGUUUAGCUAGGGCGGCAUAUCUAUUAAACUAUAACGCAGGUGUCCUAAGGGGGACUUAUAGAGAAUAGAAAUCUCUAGUAGAGUAAAAGGGCAAAAGUCCCCUUAAUUUUAAUUUUUAGUGUGAAUACAAACUAUAAAAGUGUGGCCUAUUAAUCCUUUAGUCCCUUAAAAUUUAAGGCUAGAGGUGCUAGAAAAGUUACUAUAGGGAUAACUAGCUUGUGGCAGCUAAGCGUUUAUAGCGACGUUGCUUUUUAAUCCUUUAAUAUUAGCUCUUCCUAUUAUACUAAAGUAGAAUUUAGUAAGCGUUAGAUUAUUUACCUACUAAUAGGGAACGUAAGCUAGGUUUAGACUAUUGUAAGACAGGUUAGUUUUACCCUACUAAUAACCUUGCCCUAAUAGUAAUACUGCUUAGUACGAGAGGAACCGUGGUUUUAGAUAAUUAGUUUUUGGGGCUGUCUAACUAGGCAUUACUACGAAGCUACUAUCUGCUAGAUUAUAGCUAAACGCCUCUAAGUUAGAAUCUAUGCUAGAAUAGGGUAAUUUCCGCCUACACUAGUUAGAUACAAAUAGGCCUUUGGCCCAGAACCUUACUAGAUUAGCGUUAGCAGCCCUAUUAAAGUUAGGGUUGUUAGCUAGUAUAUUACAAUUAUAUAGUGCGUAGGAUUGAAUCCUUUAUAGAUAACUUAGUUGUCUAGCUAGGUCGUGUAAGUAGUUAAGUAGCCUUGUUAUUACAAGCUACUAAGCGUAAGCCCGUUGCUAGCUUAGUUAAAAUUAGGAUAUUAUGCCCUCCUUAUUUGCAAAACUGCUGCCUAAAUAGCUGCUAUUAAUAGAAGGAAGAGGGCCAUAGCGAACAAGUUAUAUAGUAAUUGCAAGAUAGAGAGGGCUAGAGCUAGGAGCAAUCCUUACAAAAUAUACAAAAGAACAGGUUAUAUGUGUACGUACCUUAGGUAGUUAAUAUAUAGCAUAGGAAGAUUAAGAAAGGAUUUAAGAUAAUCUAUAUAGAUUUUUAGGCGGUAAUCUAUAACUUAAGAGCGUUCUAUAACUUUUUAUUUUUUAGGGGUAGUGUUCUAUAACUCUAGGGCGUUCUAUAACUUUAGGGCGUUCUAUAACUUUAGGGCGUUCUAUAACUUUUUAUUUUUUAGGGGUAGUAUUCUAUAACUUUAGGGCGUUCUAUAACUUUUUAUUUUUUAGGGGUAGUGUUCUAUAACUUUAGGGCGUUCUAUAACUUUAGGGCGUUCUAUAACUUUAGGGCGUUCUAUAACUUUUUAUUUUUUAGGGGUAGUAUUCUAUAACUUUAGGGCUUUCUAUAACUUUAGGGCGUUCUAUAACUUUAGGGCGUUCUACAACUUUUUAUUUUUUAGGGGUAGUGUUCUAUAACUUUAGGGCGUUCUAUAACUUUAGGGCGUUCUAUAACUUUAGGGCGUUCUAUAACUUUUUAUUUUUUAGGGGUAGUGUUCUAUAACUUUAGGGCGUUCUAUAACUUUUUCUUUUUUAGAGGUAGUGUUCUAUAACUUUAGGGCGUUCUAUAACUUUUUAUUUUUUAGGGGUAGUGUUCUAUAACUCUAGGGCGUUCUAUAACUUUUUAUUUUUUAGGGUUAGUAUUCUAUAAUAUUAGAGUGUUCUAUAACUUUUUCUUUUUUAGAGGUAGUGUUCUAUAAUAUUAGAGUGUUCUAUAACUUUUUAUUUUUUAGGGUUAGUAUUCUAUAAUAUUAGAGUGUUAUAUAACUUUUUCUUUUUUAGAGGUAGUGUUCUAUAACUUUAGGGCGUUCUAUAACUUUUUAUUUUUUAGAUGUAAAGUUCUAUAACUUUAGGGCGUUCUAUAACUUUAGGGCGUUCUAUAACUUUUUAUUUUUUAGGGGUAGUGUUCUAUAACUUUAGGGCGUUCUAUAACUUUUUCUUUUUUAGAGGUAGUGUUCUAUAACUUUAGGGCGUUCUAUAACUUUUUCUUUUUUAGAGGUAGUGUUCUAUAAUAUUAGAGUGUUCUAUAACUUUUUAUUUUUUAGGGUUAGUAUUCUAUAACUUUAGGGCGUUCUAUAACUUUUUCUUUUUUAGAGGUAGUGUUCUAUAAUAUUAGAGUGUUCUAUAACUUUUUAUUUUUUAGGGUUAGUAUUCUAUAAUAUUAGAGUGUUCUAUAACUUUUUCUUUUUUAGAUGUAGUAUUCUAUAAUAUUAGAGUGUUCUAUAACUUUUUCUUUUUUAGCGUUCCUGUACACAUCCAUCUCCAAUCACUAUUCUCACCACAUUUCCGCUAAUCCCAACACGUUAAAGUAUACUUGCAUUUUGUGUAUUCAGAUUUAGUUACAAUAUACAUGUGAGACCCUGAGGGCAGUUGACAGCACAGGUUUACAUGUGUAUAUGUAUUUCAACCCCGGAGGGGAGAGAAUACAUUUUGUAAAUGAACAGAAAAACAACAAUGCCCAUGUGGCGUUUGAACAGUGACUAAAGGAGUGAAAGACAGNNNNNNNNNNNNNNNNNNNNNNNNNNNNNNNNNNNNNNNNNNNNNNNNNNNNNNNNNNNNNNNNNNNNNNNNNNNNNNNNNNNNNNNNNNNNNNNNNNNNNNNNNNNNNNNNNNNNNNNNNNNNNNNNNNNNNNNNNNNNNNNNNNNNNNNNNNNNNNNNNNNNNNNNNNNNNNNNNNNNNNNNNNNNNNNNNNNNNNNNNNNNNNNNNNNNNNNNNNNNNNNNNNNNNNNNNNNNNNNNNNNNNNNNNNNNNNNNNNNNNNNNNNNNNNNNNNNNNNNNNNNNNNNNNNNNNNNNNNNNNNNNNNNNNNNNNNNNNNNNNNNNNNNNNNNNNNAUCUUAGUAAAGGGCAUAGAGUUUAAAGAAUAUAAGCGCCGGUAACAACUUAACUUUAGACUAUUCUAUACUAGUAGCUAUUAUAUCCUUUUUAUAAUACUUAUUAUAUCAUACUAUUAUCUAUUAUUCUUUACUGUUAAGUAUAUCCUUAUAUUUUAUAAAACCUUUUCUCUACUAGCUAGUCCUACUAUACUUUCUUUUAUAACCUACUAGUAUUAAAUAAUACCUUUAUAUUCUUCUUUUAUACUAUCUCUAUUUCUUGCCUUAUCUAUUAAGUAGAUAUAGAUAGAGCUAAUAGAUCUAUAGUUAAUAUAGAUACAGUAGUUAUAGUAGAGUAUAGAUAUUAGAGUAGAUAUCCUUAUCUAUAUAUUUACCUACUACUAAUAAAAUUCUAAGUUACUCUUAUCUAGCAAAUACAGGUUUAUGGUUUGUAUAGGGCUGCGCAUGUCUACACAGUUUUACAUAUAAAAAAGUGUACCUCUAAGCUAUUUUCCGCCGCACUAACCCCGCAACGCGAAAAUCAAACCAAAACCUGUUCUUAUAAUAUAUAAGGAGGGCAAAUAGAUUCUUAAAUACUAAAUACCUAACUAACUAACUAAGGUUAAAUCUACUGCGCGCAGUUCUUGGAUUAGGCAGUUAAACUAGCGUUAUUAGGCACUAAGGGGGCAAUUUUUGCUCGUGUCCGCGUCUAUACUCCCUACAACUCCCUAUUGUUAGCGCUCUGUGCCUAUUUUAGCGGCAGUUAGACUAAAUUUGAAAGUUUUGGUUUUAUAAUAGCUAGCCUUGUUUCCCAGAUUUCUGCCUGGUUUGGAUUUGCUCUAAUUAGUGGGUAAUUAGGGGCUUAGAGAUUGCUCUUCUACUUAACUAGGCAGGCCUAGGCCUAUAUGCUAAAGCAACCCUGCUAUUGCGCCUAGUUUUGUGGUUAGCACCUAAAGUCCUACUAUUAAAGUUUUAGCAGUAGGCAAAAUUUAGGGUCUGUAGAUAGCUAGCACUGCUAAACUAUUUAAUAGAUCUUAGGGGAUAGCCCUGCCUAGCAUCCGCUCCUAGUAAGCGUAGCAAAGCGUAGGUUUUCUCUACUUAAGGCAUGUAUGUAGCGAGUUUGAACACGCGGAAACGCCUGUUAGGCUUUGUUACAGACUAUUCCUUAAGAAACUUAGUAGGGGCAAUUAAAUUAGUUACUAGUUGUAACUAGUGCCUUAUAUGCUGUUAUGCUAGUAGCUAGAAUUGCUUCUGCAAUUUCUUAUCACGUACUUUCUGCCUCCUUUUAGGGGUAGUGCUUAUACGCUUUAGCGUAUUAGGUAUUAGGAUUAUUACCUAGUUAAUUCUGCUAGUAGUUAUAUGCUUAUCUUAAAGAUUAAGCUAUGUAUAUCUAAGUAUAAGCAAUUAUACUAUAAAACUGCAAAUAGCUUAUUAAAUUAGUUAUUGU